GUGCUCACUUCAGCAGCACAUACACUAAAAUUGAAACAGUACAGAGAUUAGCAUGGCCCCUGCGCAAGGAUGACACGCAAAUUCGUGAAGCGUUCCUUAUUUUU
ensembl:snRNA U6 U6 spliceosomal RNA